rnacentral:rRNA from 1 species
CGAAACCUAAGUGAUCUACCCAUGAGCAGGUUGAAGUUUUGGUAACACAAAAUGGAGGACCGAACCAGUUAACGUUGAAAAGUUUUUGGAUGACUUGUGGGUAGGGGUGAAAGGCCAAUCAAACUGGGAGAUAGCUCGUACUCCCCGAAAUGCCUUGAGGGGCAGCCUCGGCAAAAAAGUGUAUCGGAGGUAGAGCUACCGAUUGGGCUAGGGGGCCUCACCGCCUACCAAACCCUGACGAACUCCGAAUGCCGGUACAUGUAGCCGGGAGUGAGGCCAUGGGUGCUAAGGUCCGUGGCCGAGAGGGAAACAACCCAGACUAUCAGCUAAGGUCCCUAAAUCUAUACUAAGUUGAAUAAACGAUGUUUGGUUGCUAAGACAGCUAGGAUGUUUGCUUGGAAGCAGCAAUUCAUUUAAAGAGUGCGUAACAGCUCACUAGUCGAGUGACCGAGCGCGGAAAAUAAUCGGGCAUCAAGUAUAGUACCGAAGCUGUAGCUUUACGUAAGUAAGGGG